GGGAAACGCUACUAAGAGCAGUUCCUUAUUUA
rnacentral:tRNA from 1 species